rnacentral:rRNA from 1 species
UACGUUGGGGGCAAGCGUUAUCCGGAUUUAUUGGGCGUAAAGGGGACGCAGGCGGUCUUUUAAGUCUGAUGUGAAAGCCUUCGGCUUAACCGGAGUAGUGCAUUGGAAACUGGGAGACUUGAGUGCAGAAGAGGAGAGUGGAACUCCAUGUGUAGCGGUGAAAUGCGUAGAUAUAUGGAAGAACACCAGUGGCGAAAGCGGCUCUCUGGUCUGUAACUGACGCUGAGGUUCGAAAGCGUGGGUAGCAAACAGG